rnacentral:rRNA from 1 species
UGCCUUCAGGAGGGGGACAACAGUUGGAAACGACUGCUAAUACCCCGUAUGUCUACGGAUAAAACGGUUAAUUCCGCCUGAAGAUGAGCUCGCGUCGGAUUAGCUAGUUGGUGGGGUAAGAGCUUACCAAGGCGACGAUCCGUAGCUGGUCUGAGAGGAUGAUCAGCCACACUGGGACUGAGACACGGCCCAGACUCCUACGGGAGGCAGCAGUGGGGAAUUUUCCGCAAUGGGCGAAAGCCUGACGGAGCAACGCCGCGUGCGGGAGGACGGCCUGUGGGUUGUAAACCGCUUUUCUCAGGGAAGAAGAUCUGACGGUACCUGAGGAAUCAGCAUCGGCUAACUCCGUGCCAGCAGCCGCGGUAAUACGGAGGAUGCAAGCGUUAUCCGGAAUUAUUGGGCGUAAAGCGUCCGCAGGCGGCUAGUCAAGUCUGCUGUUAAAGGCCGAGGCUUAACUUCGGUUGAGCAGUGGAAACUGAUUAGCUAGAGUGCGAUAGGGGUAGAGGGAAUUCCCAGUGUAGCGGUGAAAUGCGUAGAUAUUGGGAAGAACACCAGUGGCGAAGGCGCUCUACUGGGUCGCAACUGACGCUGAG